CGUUAGCUCAGUUGGUAGAGCAGCUGACUCUUAAUCAGCGGGUCGGAGGUUCGAAUCCUCCAC
rnacentral:tRNA from 1 species